UACGUAGGGUGCGAGCGUUAAUCGGAAUUACUGGGCGUAAAGCGUGCGCAGGCGGUUUUGUAAGCCGGAUGUGAAAUCCCCGGGCUUAACCUGGGAAUGGCAUUCGGGACUGCAAGGCUGGAGUGCGGCAGAGGAGACUGGAAUUCCUGGUGUAGCAGUGAAAUGCGUAGAUAUCAGGAAGAACAUCGGUGGCGAAGGCGCUCUGCUGGACCAUAACUGACACUCAGGGACGAAAGCUAGGGGAGCGAAUGGG
rnacentral:rRNA from 1 species